rnacentral:rRNA from 1 species
CGGGGGGCUGCACCAGUGAGGAAUAUUGCACAAUGGGGGGAACCCUGAUGCAGCAACGCCGCGUGGAGGAUGACGCAUUUCGGUGUGUAAACUCCUUUUAUAUGUCAAGAAAAUGACGGUAGCAUAUGAAUAAGCACCGGCUAACUCCGUGCCAGCAGCCGCGGUAAUACGGAGGGUGCAAGCGUUACUCGGAAUCACUGGGCGUAAAGGACGCGUAGGCGGGUUGGAAAGUCAGGUGUGAAAUCCUACAGCUUAACUGUAGAACUGCACUUGAAACUUCUAAUCUAGAGUAUGGGAGGGGGAGAUGGAAUUAGUGGUGUAGGGGUAAAAUCCGUAGAUAUCACUAGGAAUACCUAAAGCGAAGGCGAUCUCCUGGAACAUUACUGACGCUAAGGCGUGAAAGCGUGGGGAGCAAACAGGAUUAGAUACCCCAGUAGUC